CCAGCCCACUAUAAAAGGGGCUGUUUGCCUCCUUCUCUCUCUCUUACCUCUCAUUCUCUUGUUCCUACUUUUGUUGCCUGGCUUCCCCUCUCUCUGCCUUCUUUUCCCCGUCUCCAUGUGGCCAUGGCCAGCCUCUACUUUCCUACACUCUUCCUCUCUCUGACUUUCUACAAUGAACACCUUAAAACCAUGGACCAUCCUAACCAUCUCAUCGGAACCCAUUGUGCUAGAGCAAUGGAGCCGGUCUUCCCCUAAGGAGCAGUGCCUCUAACCUCCCACGAGGAGGCCUCCCUGCGCUCCAGCCAAGGCUGCCAGCCAACCCUAGCCAGCCAAACCAAGCUAGCAAGACAAGGACUCUCCUCCCCAUGGCGGAAUUUCAGCUACCUUGCUUAUGUAGACAACUACAGAAGACUGACACCAUUUACAGUUUACUUUCUCAUAUCCAUCAACAAGAAAAAAAAAAAAGAUAUACAGUACGCAUGCCAUGUUUAUCAAGCCACUUUCCUCAAUAGCCUGUUCCAGUUCUCUCAGCUGUUACAAUGAUGUUAAUCAUGGAUGGCAUCUAUCUCAGAAAUCUUUGUCCUCUGGGCCAGCAUACUGAUCCGGAUCUGGGGAGUGUCCUUCACUCAGCUCUUCUGCAUCAUGGAAUACCAACCUGUUACCAUGCAGACAUUCAGACUUGAAGGAAGAGUGACAAUACAUGGUUAAAUGACUGUGAUCCCAUGGAGAAGGUCACCGUGAAUUAGAAUGGAGGGCAAAGGAAAGUGAAGCUACUGAAUGAAGUAACAGUAAAGGGCAAAAUAACUAUGUAGAAUAUCCACAGUGAAUGUACAGGAGCAUGGGAAUACAGCAGGAUGUCAUCAAGUUAAGCAUGCAUUGUGAUUAAUGUGUUUGCUUGUCGCUACUGGAACAGAACAGAAAAGCAGUGUUUGAUAAAGUCUGAGGGCAA